rnacentral:lncRNA from 10 species
CUCAGCAUCAUGGAACUUUGGAGUUAGAAACCUUUGCAUUUAUUCAUCUGGACUCCCCCACAUUGCAGAUGACGAGACGGGUACAGGGAGGUCCAGCCACUCAUUUCAACAGGUCAGCCAGUAGUAGCAGAGCGGGGAUCAGAAGCCAGCUGUCGGGCUGAGGCAGGUGCCCUUUCUCCACUUCAAAGCUUUUCCUUUGUCUGGCAGGGAUGAUCUCUCUGUGUGCGCACCAUGGUCUCAGCCUCAGUCUUUCCCUCCCCGCUGUGUCCCUCGGCCUCUCUGUCCACCUUCCUCAGUGUGUCUGUCUCCCUCUGUGACUGUGUGUCCGUGUGUCUUGCAAGGCCCCUGGCUGUCUCCCUCUCACGCUGCACACACAUGUCUAUGCGCUCUUUUUAACCCCACAUCCAUUGCUGAUGCCCCAAAUGAAAUAGCCACAGGGAUUAUCCAGUAUCCCAUGUCCCAGGUGCCCCGAGCCACUGCUGGAUAGUAGCUCCACUCCUUUUAUGGGUAAGAUAACAAUAUGCCGUCAAUACCCACAGCCAGCUUCUGUUUAAAAAAAAAAAGAAAGAAAGAAAUGGGGUCUCAGGCUGUUGCUCAGGCUGGAGUGCAGGGCCACAAUCAUACCUCACUGUAGUCUCGAACUCCUGGGCUCAAGCCAUCCUCCCACUUUAGCCUCCCAAGCAGGACUCCCAAGAUGGGACUACACCACAACUGCCAUUUUUUUUUCUUUUUCUUUUUCUUUCUUUUUCUUUUUCUUUUUUUUUUUUUUUUUUUUUUUUUGAGUUGGAAUCUUGCUCUGUCAGCCAGGCUGGAGUGCAGUGGCACCAUCUCGGCUCACUGCAAGCUCCACCUCCCUGGUUCACACCAUUCUCCUGCCUCAGCCUCCAAAGUAGCUGGGACUACAGGUGCCUGCCACCACGCCGGGCCAAUUUUUUAUAUUUUUAGUAGAGACGGGAUUUCACCGUGUUAGCCAGGAUGGUCUCGAUCUCCUGACCUUGUGAUCCGCCCACCUCGGCCUCCCAAAGCGCUGGGAUUACAGGCGUGAGCCACCACGCCCGGCCAAUUUUUUAAUUUUUUUAUAGAGACAGGGUCUUGCUAUUUUGCCCUGGCUGGUCUGGGCUCAAGUGAUUCUCCCUGCUUGGCCUCCCACAUUGCUGGGAUCACAGGCGUGAGCCCCUGCACCCAGCCCCCAUGACCUGCUUCUAGAUCAUGUGUGACUCCUCCUCACCCCAAGGCCCCUGUGCCAAGUGCUCCUCCCUGACCUUCAGCAUAGCUGGUUCCUUCUCGACCUCCAGGAUUUGGGUUGAAGUUGGCUCCUCAAGUGAAAAUGUCGCUUACCUCUCAUUAUUCUCUGUCUAUCCCUUUUUAAAAUUAAAAACAUUCUUACUUUGCAAUUCAAGUAUAAUGUAUGUGCAGAAAAGCGAAGCUGUAUAUAUCUAAUGCAAAGCGUUUUCACAAAACAAAGCCACCAAUCAGAUCAGGAAACGGAACAAGACCAACACCCCAGAGAUGCUCCUACUGCACCUCCGUGGGACUUCCCUCUCCUCUUCACUAAAGGGCGCUGCCAUUUUCACCUCUAUCACCUUGAGUUAGUCUCGCCUAUUUGAACUUUAUAUGAGUGGAAUCAUAUCACGUUAUUCCUGUGCAUUAGGCUUCUUUUGUUCAAUAUAUUUUUUGUGAAGAGUUAUUCAUUCUGUUACAUGUAGCUCUAGUUUAUAAUUUUUAUUGCUGAAUAGUAUUUCAUUUUGUGAAUAUAAAACAGUUUGUUUAUCCAUUCUGUUGUCGACGGAUUUGUUUAUCCUGCCCGGGCUUCACUGAGAUUCUUAGAACUGUAAAUUUAUGUUUUGCACCAAAUCUGGGAAGUUUUAUGUCAUUUCUUCACGUAUUUUUCAAGUGACUUUCCCUCUCAUGCCUCUGGAAUUCCAUUUCCACAUAGGCUGCACUGCUUGCGGUUUUUGCAUAGGUUUCUGAAGUUCUAUUCCUUUCUUUUCAAUAAUGUUUUCUCCAUUUUUCAAAUUAAGUAAUUUGUUUUCACUUAUUUCCAGGUUCUCUGAUUCUUUCUUCUUCCAACCCCAAUCUGUUUAAAAACUAGCAAGUUUUUAAAAUCUCAGUCAUGGUACUUUUGAGCUCCAGAUUUAUCACGCAUCUGUUGUAGUUUCUGUUACUUUGUUGAGGCUUCCUACCUGUUCGGGGUUUUUCCGUUUUGGGGUUUUUUUGUUUUGAGAUGGGGUAUUGCUCUGUCCCACAGGCUGGAGUGCAGCGGCAUGAUCUCGGCUCACUGCAAACUCUGCCUCCCGGGUUCAAGCGAUUCUCCUGCCUCAGCCUCCCAAGUAGCUGGGACUACAGGCACCUGCCAACACACCCAGCUCAUUUUUAUAUUUUCAGUAGAGACGGGGUUUCACCUUACUGGCCAGGCUGGUCUCAAAUUCCUGACCUCAGGUGAUCCACCCGCCUCAGCCUCCCAAAGUGCUGGGAUUACAGGCAUGAGCCACCGCGCCCGGCCUGUUUGGUUUUUGAUAGCACAUUUUCCUUCAGGUCUCUGAACACAUUUAUAACAUCUCAUUUGAACUCUCUCUGUGAAACCCAUUAUCUGGAUUAACUGGGAAUCAUUUGUUCUUGAGCACGAGUCACACUUCCCUGUUUUGUUGAAUGUCAUUUAACAUUUGGACAUUGCAUGUGUCAUGUCUACAUGCACGUGUCAGGUAAUCUACAUGUAGAAUGUAGAUGCUAUGUCGGCAGCAGCUCUGGAAUCUGUUGUGUUCUUCUGAAGAUUGUUGCUUUUUUUGUUCUAACAGCUGUCAUGUGCUGGAUUCUAAGGACAAACAUUGCCAUCUCUGUGGUAAGCAGCUAAUGUCCCUGCUGUCUUUUUUUUUUUUUUUUUUUUUUUUUUUUUUUUUUUUUUGAGAUGGAGACUUGCUGUGUCGCCCAGGUUACAAUGCAGUGGCGUGAUCUCGGCUCACUGCAACCUCCACCUCCCGGGUUCAAGCAAUUCUCCUGUCUCAGCCUUCUGAGUAGCUGGGACUAUCAGUGCAUACCACCACACCUGGCUAAUUUUUGUAUUUUGAGUAAAGACAGGGUUUCACCUUGUUGGCCAGGCUGGUCUCAAACUCCUGACCUUAAGUGAUCCACCUGCCUCGGCCUCCCAGAGUGCUGGGAUUACAUGUGUGAGUCACCGCGCCGGGCCCCUGCUCUCUUCUUAUGGCUCCAGCUGCUGAUUUUUAAGCCUGAAUCCUGGAGAUUUUCCCUGCACCUGUGCAACGGGGCAGGCAGCCAUGGAUCUGGGCUAAGGCUAUGCUCAGAUUUAGGGUCUCGGUGUCUCAGUGGCUUCCUUGCUUCCAGUGAGUACUCCUGAAUUUCCACAGCUCUGCCAGCUUUGGGC